rnacentral:lncRNA from 1 species
AGAAUGUUGGUUUUCUAAUUUUGGUUUUCUUUGUUAUUUUUCAAAAUAAAAAAAAAUUAUGUUUGAUCUUUUGAACUCCCAUUGGUUUUUGAGAUUAUGAGUAUUAUGUAUGAGAAUUAGUUGAGAUAGAUGAAGAUAUAAAUCGAAUGAAGGAGUGUGCAUGCAAGUUUUAAGGUUUAAUUGGUUUAGGGAUUGACUUUGAGAAUAU